GGUCUGUCUAGUGUUGUCUAGAGGGGUCUGUCUGUAGUGUUGUCUAGAGGGGUCUGUCUGGAGUGUUGUCUAGAGGGGUCUGUCUGUAGUUGUUGUCUGGGGUCUGUCUGUAGUGUUGUCUAGAGGGGCCUGUCUGUAGUGUUGUCUAGAGGGGCCUGUCUGUAGUGUUGUCUAGAGGGGUCUGUCUGUAGUGUUGUCUAGAGGGGUCUGUCUGUAGUGUUGUCUAGAGGGGUCUGUCUAGUGUUGUCUAGAGGGGUCUGUCUAGUGUUGUCUAGAGGGGUCUGUCUGUAGUGUUGUCUCGGGGGGUCUCUGUAGUGUUGUCUAGAGGGGUCUGUCUGUAGUGUUGUCUCGGGGGUCUGUCUGUAGUGUUGUCUCGGGGGGUCUGUCUGUGUUGUCUAGAGGGGUCUGUCUAGUGUUGUCUAGAGGGGUCUGUCUGUAGUGUUGUCUAGAGGGGUCUGUAGUGUUGUCUAGAGGGGUCUGUCUGUAGUGUUGUCUAGAGGGGUCUGUCUGUAGUGUUGUCUCGGGGGGGUCUGUAGUGUUGUCUGCCCCAGGACCGUGAUCCCAGGCCUGUCUGGCUUCCCUCUGAGGAAACACUGCUGUUGGUUGAUAGUGCGACUCAUUACAGAAGUCGUCUUUGAGGACAGUCAUGUCUUGUAUUCAAAAUGAGGAUCAUAAAAGAGGUUUCCCAUGACGCAAUUCAACUGAUAUGCCACACAGAGCCAUGUAAGAAUCAAUGUGGCUCCCUUUAAUGAACAACAUGAGAGAGGCUGAUUGCUGGGUUAAUUAACGAGAGGUGUAGUGAUGUUAAGAUGAGCUGUCUGUCUGAGCUGACCACUCGAGACCCACUGGAUCCUGGCCAGCAGGGGAGAAGACAGGAAGUACACUGUCACCGCCCUCCGAGUCAGCCCUGUAGCCAUAUCAACGCCCUUAGCCAUACAGACACACAUUUAAAAUUCUGAUAUCGCUAACAUCUCCAUGAGCUCAAUCGCCCUCAUUCCCUUCAGGCAGACCUCGGUUCAAAUAGUAUCUGAAAUAUUAUUUGAUUGAGCUGAAAUAAUUCUUGAUUGAGCUUGCCUGGCACAAUAGAAUCAAUAGAAGGAAAAAAACUAAGUGCAAACCCUGCUCACUGUCACUACUGAUGAGCUGUCUGUUCCUGACUACUGAGUGGAUCCAACAGGAAGUUCUCCGUCACCGCCCUCAGUCUGCCCUGUAGCGAUAUCAAUGCCCUGCGGCCUCCAGAAUUCCAGACACACCUCCCUUAAAGCUACAGUCUGGGGUUCGAAAAACAACAACGCAACUGCCCCGCCUCUUAUUUUGGUAUGAGUCUGUGAAAUGGGAUCCAUUUAAUGUAACCCCUCCUAUAGUCACAGAGGCAAUUAUAAGGUCAACCAUCAAUGGUACUCUACCUCUUUUAAAGAACCGCUCAGUCCUCUUUUAAAGAACCGCUCAGUCCUCUUUUAAAGAACCGCUCAGUCCUUCUUUUAAAGAACCGAUCUCAGUCCUUCUUUUAAAGAACCGCUCAGUCCUCUUUUAAAGAACCGCUCAGUCCUCUUUUAAAGAACCGCUCAGUCCUUCUUUUAAAGAACCGAUCAGUCCUUUUAAAUAACCGCUCAGUCCUCUUUUAAAGAACCGCUCAGUCCUCUUUUAAAGAACCGAUCCCAGUCCUCUUUUAAAGAACCGAUCCCAGUCCUCCUGCAAAGAACCGAUCCCAGUCCUCCUGUAAAGAACCGAUCCCAGUCCUCCUGUAAAGAACCGAUCCCAGUCCUCCUGUAAAGAACUGAUCCCAGUCCUCCUGUAAAGAACCGAUCCCAGUCCUCCUGUAAAGAACUGAUCCCAGUCCUCCUGUAAAGAACUGAUCCCAGUCCUCCUGUAAAGAACCGAUCUCAGUCCUCCUCAGUAGUUAUAUCAGUAGUUGCUUGUUUGUAGGUGACCAAAUACUUAUUUUCCACCAUAAUUUGCAAAUAAAUUAAUAAAAAAUCAUGGAAAAUCUUUGGAGGGGGUUGAAAGUCCGUGUUGCCCAGCAACAGCCCCAAAACAUCACUGCUCUAGAGGAGAUCUGCAUGGAGGAAUGGGCCAAAAUACCAGCAACAGUGUGUGGAAGACUUACAGAAAACGUUUGACCUCUGUCAUUGCCAACAAAGGGUAUAUAACAAAGUAUUGAGAUAAACUUUUGUUAUUGACCAAAUACCUAUUUUCCACCAUAAUUUGCAAAUAAAUUCAUUAAAAAUCAUACAAUGUGAUUUUCUGGAUUUUUUUUCUCAUUUUGUCUGUCAUAGUUGAAGUGUACCUAUGAUGAAAAUUACAGGCCUCUCUCAUCUUUUUAAGUGGGAGAACUUGC
ensembl:lncRNA